rnacentral:sRNA from 2 species
UAUCUCUCCGUACGGGGAAGGAUGAGAAGCUUCGACUAAGGUUCGAUUCGAGCGCAGCGAGAAAGCGUUGCCGCAGGCAACGACCCGAA